rfam:Hordeum vulgare subsp. vulgare, WGS project CAJW01000000 data, contig: morex_contig_52490
AUAAUACUCCCUGCGUUCGAAAAUACUUGUCCUAGAAAUGAAUAAAAUGAAUGUAUCUAUAACUAAAAUAAGUCUAAAUACAUAAUUUUCUAGGACAAGUAUUUCCGGACGGAGGGAGUAUAUA